GGCCCAAUGGUCUAGAGGUAAGAUACUUGCUUUGGGAGCACAGCCUCAAUUGCAAGGGAUCCCGGGUUCGAAUCCCGGUUGGGCCC